rnacentral:rRNA from 1 species
AUACGUAGGGGGCGAGCGUUAUCCGGAUUCAUUGGGUUUAAAGGGUGCGCAGGCGGCCGUGCAAGUCAGCGGUGAAAGCCCGGGGCUCAACCCCGGAAGUGCCGUUGAUACUGCAUGGCUGGAAUGCGGUCGAGGCGGGCGGAACGGGGCGUGGAGCGGUGGAAUGCGUAUAUAUGCCACAGAACACCGAUAGCGGAGGCCGCUCGCCCGGCCUGCAUUGACGCUCGGGCACGAAAGCGUGGGGAUCGAACAGGAUUAGAUACCCUGGUAGUCCACGCCGUAAACGAUGGGCGCUCGUCGUCGGCGGCAGACAGUCGGCGGCCAAGCGAAAGCGAUAAGCGCCCCACCUGGGGAGUACGGUCGCAAGGCUGAAACUCAAAGGAAUUGGCGGGG